CCUACGGGUGGCAGCAGUGAGGAAUAUUGGUCAAUGGACGAGAGUCUGAACCAGCCAAGUAGCGUGAAGGAUGACUGCCCUAUGGGUUGUAAACUUCUUUUAUAUGGGAAUAAAAUGUUCCACGUGUGGGAUUUUGUAUGUACCAUAUGAAUAAGGAUCGGCUAACUCCGUGCCAGCAGCCGCGGUAAUACGGAGGAUCCGAGAGUUAUCCGGAUUUAUUGGGUUUAAAGGGAGCGUAGGUGGAUUGUUAAGUCAGUUGUGAAAGUUUGCGGCUAAACCGUAAAAUUGCAGUUGAAACUGGCAGUCUUGAGUACAGUAGAGGUGGGCGGAAUUCGUGGUGUAGCGGUGAAAUGCUUAGAUAUCACGAAGAACUCCGAUUGCGAAGGCAGUUCACUGGACUGCAACUGACACUGAGGCUCGAAAGUGUGGGUAUCAAACAGGAUUAGAUACCCUAGUAGUC
rnacentral:rRNA from 1 species